AAAGAAGCGGGUUGGGCGCAAGCUGGCGUACCAGCGGGUGUAUGAAGAGCUGGGGGACGCAAUGGAGUGCCUGCAGCACAUGUACGUGGGCAAGGAGGGAAGCAAGAAGAACCACCCCUGCUCCUCAUCUGCCUGCUACCGCAACCUGCAGCUCCUCAUCCAACACCUCGCCGCCUGCCCCCGCAGGAAAGCCUGCCCCCGCUGCUGCCGCAUGUUGCAGCUCCUCCGCCUCCACUCCGCCAUCUGCGACGACAGCACGCAACAGGCUUGCCGCAUCCCUCUUUGCUCGUAAGUCUCUACGCUGCUAUCGUAAAAGAAUUUGUUAGUUAAUGCUUUUAUCAUCCGCCUACGUUCAGGUGUAUCUGAGUCAUUUGGCUUUCAUAUGACUGAUGAUUGUUUAGGAAACAUUGGGAGGGAGUAUGCUGAGUUGGUGGUUGAUUGAUUUUAUAGUCUAUUUGGUACCACUUCUGUAUCUGUUCUCAGCAGCAGCAGCAGCAGUAUCAAGGAGAAAUUCUGGAGCUUCUGCUGUAGCGAGAAACUGAAAUUAGAUUUUCAACGUCAAAAACGAAUUACGUAAUGCUUCUUCUAAUAGCACGACAUCUAUUGGCAGUGUAAUCGCUCUAAUGUUUGGGGAGUUUGACAUAUUUUUCCUUUUCUUUUUGUUAGAGAACAAACUUAACCACUGAUGCCCUGCUUGUUGGGUUUUCCGUCUAUACCUGCAGGCACUUCAAGCUGAGAAUGCAGCAGCAGAAGGAAGAUUCUCAGCAGCAGCAGAAGGAAGGGAAAGAAGAGGACGACACGUGGCAGCUUCUGGUGAAGAAGGUGAAGGUUGCUCGAGUUAUGUCCUCCUUCUCUAAGAGGAAGGGACAGGAAGGAGUUCAUGAGCAAUUCGCCCUUUGCUCUACUACUGCAAAGACCAGUGACUAAUGUCAUGGAAAUUUUCUUUUUCCUUUUGUUCUUUCCCCCCUGUUAGUAAGGAAUUAAGAUGCGCCUUCCUUAUAAAGAGAGCAGCUCGAUGCACGUAUAUGCAUGCCAAUCUUCUAGAGAGAGAGUUCUUAGCUUGUUAAAAAAAGGAGCAUGCAGCUGUUAUAGAAGUGAAACUUGUAUUAGAUAAUAGUUUGGUGUGUGUAUAUGUAUGUCUAUCUUCUAGAGAGAGAAAGAGUUUUUAGCUUGUAAAAAUGGGGCAGGCAGCUGUUAUAGAAGUGGAACUUGUAUUAGAGAAGAGUUUGGUGUGUGUAUAUGUAUGUCUAUCUUCUAGAGAGAGAGAGAAAGAGUUCUUAGCUUGUUAAAAAAUGGUAGGUAGCUGUUAUAGAAGUGGAACUUGUAUUAGAGAGGAGUUUGGUGUGUGUAUAUGUAUGUCUAUCUUCUAUAGAGAGAGAAAGAGUUCUUAGCUUGCAAAAAUGGGGCAGACAACUGUUAUAGAAGUGGAACUUGUAUUAGAGAGGAGCUUGGUGUGUAUAUGUAUGUCUAUAUUCUAGAGAGAGAGAGAAAGAGUUCUUAGCUUGCUAAAAAAGGGCAGUAGCUGUUAUAGAAGUAGAACUUGUAUUAAAAAGGAGUUUAGUGUGUUUAUGUAUGUCUAUCUUCUAGAGAGAGAGAAAGAGUUCUUAGCUUGCAAAAAUAGGGCAGACAGCUGUUAUAGAAGUGAAACUUGUAUUAGAGAGGAGCUUGGUGUGUGUCUAUGCAUGUCUAUCUUCUAGAGAGACAGAAAGAGCUCUUAACUUGCAAAAAAAGGGCAGGCAGCUAUUAUAAAAGUGGAACUUGUAUUAGAGAGGAGCUUGAUGUGUGUAUAUGUAUGUUUAUCUUUUAGAGAGAGAGACUUCUUAGUUUAUAUAAAAAGGGGCAGGUAGCUGUUAUAGAAGUGGAAUUUGUAUUAGAGAGGAGCUUGGUGUGUAUAUAUGUAUGCCUAUCUUUCAGAGAGAAUCACUCCAGCUGUUAUAAAAGUGGAUCUUGUAUUAGCAUAAGAACAAUUAGUUACAUUUUGCAACUAACUUAAGAUAUAAUAUGCAAUAAGAAACUUAAGCUGAUCAUGAUUUUUAAAUAUAAUUGAUUCAUCGAAUGACGAACGUACAAAUGUCUUUUUGGAUGCUUAGCAUAGUAUUUCGCUUUUGUUUACUCAAGAGUGUUGCAGUAAUUCUUGCAAUUGAUAGCCGAAAAAUGCGAUCAAUAUCUAUAACUAUAAUAUAUAAUAAAAAUAAAUGGGCUAAAAGACUCAAUUUUUAAUAAAAAUAAAAUAAUCUUUAUUUUUAUAAAAUAAGUUAUUAUUAAAUAAUUUAUUUUACCAUCCAAAUGAACCUUAAAAUUUACAUUUCCUCCGCAUUUCCUGGUAAUGAAGCUGACCCUAGUUUUCUCCAUGCAAAUCAGGUUAGAGUCGAUAGAUCAGAAUGUCGUAAUCAAAUUACAAUCUUUGAAGUUUCCCUAAUGAAAGAGAUCUCUAAGUUAAGAAAUUCGAGUCUAGUCUACAGUAAUUAAAGAUUAUUUGACGUGUAGAAUUAGGUAUGCAUGUCAGCAAUGACUAAGUUGAAAAAGUCCAUUAGUACGUUCUAUUAAUUUAAUUCAUCGUCACGCCUUUUACUUUAUGAACUUGACCACACGCCUAAUGACAGAUCAAUCACUCCAGAGAUCAUUUACGCGCUGAUGAAACAAUUUUUAUUUCAUUUAGCUGCUGAUCGCAAUUUUGUCCGAUGAAGCCGCCUUAGGAGGACCGGAAUUCGAGAAUUACGCAGGAGUAAAACUUAAUAAAGAGGUUUUCUUACUCCGAACUAUAACCGCCUAUUUGGUACAUUUGACUGAAAAUUGAGUUCCUAAUUUUCAACAAUUUAGUACGGUAGUCCAACGCAAAAUUCACGAAGUUUAAGUGAAGCCAAAGUAACUUCUGCCGUGAUCAAGAAGGACACGAGCCAACAGCUCAUCCGUGGCAGCAUUAGACCGACGGGCCACAGACGAGCAUCCUUGGCUUGGGGCAAAGCUUUGGCAGAGAGCGGAAAAGGUUCUGGUCCUUCACAGCCUCGGGUCGGGAUACAGCACGGCACGGAUACUAUAAUACUAUUGCCAGGCCAGACCGGCCUGAGCCUCUGGGCUGUGCUGGGCUGCUCCUCUGUGGCCCGACGGCCUGGCACGGCGGGAGGCCGAUCUUCAUACUUGGGAUAUUUUUUGAAUAUCCCAUCAACCAAUAUCUCAAUAAAUUCAUGGACCACAAUUUUAUGGAUGUACAGAUACAGCAGAUUUUAGUGUGUUCAGAUCGAGAUAUUUGGACAGCUUGCAACAACUAGUACUAUUUUUUUUUUUUUUUCCCCUCAAAAAAGAAAUAAUACUAAGGUACAUUUUAAUUUAUUAUGAUAAAAAUAUUAGAGGUUGAGAGGAUACCACCCUCCAUAAGUUUAGUCGAGUCUCUUUCUAAGCAGCGUCAGUUCUGACAUUUACGACUAAACUUCUAAUAGCCUGAUGAUAAUGUACACGUAACCUAUACACAUAACGUCCUAUCUUAAGAUUAUGACGUUCCAACUUGUGUCUGUGCCCAUAAGAUUUUUUCUUGGGCCAAGUGUUUAGAAUAGAUUUUUGAAAUAAAAGAAAUAAGGAAAGAAAAAAAAGAAAAAGACAUUGAGGUCGCUUCUGGCCCCAGCUUUUCAUAAAAUCUACACGCGCCGUGCUCGACCCGAAGGGACCAUGGAUUGCAGUGGCGAUAGAACAAUCUAAAUCUAAGCAUCCAACCCAUUUCAUUCAAUUUGAUCCUAGCCGUUGGAUUUCAUAGUGCUAAUUAAUGUUGCCAAAGAAUUAUUCGUUAAUUACUCGUAUUCUUUUUUUGUUAAUUGCCCGAAUCUUUUUUUUUGAAAAAUAAAUUUUCUCUUAAAAUAGUUAGUGUUGUGGGUUUAGAUCGAAAGAUUUAGACAUGACAGAAUGACCGGAUGGUCCACAGCUAGUGCAGUGCUCUAAGCAAUAAUUUAACAUUGCUUAAUUUGUCGUAUAGCCUGGCUAUUUAUACAUUCCAAAAAAAAAAUAAAUUUUACAACACAAGUUGUGUCGAUGCGUGUGGCUAUUUAUACAUUCCAAAAAAAUAAUAAAUUUUACAACACAAGUUGUGUCGAUGCGUGUGGCUAUUUAUACUUUCCAAAAAGAAAAAAUUUACAAUACAAGUUGUGUCGAUACGAGUGGCUAUUUAUACUUUCCAAAAAAAAAAAAAUUUACAACACAAGUUGUGUCGAUACAUGUUGUUCACAAAAUAAUAACAGUAAAUAUUUAUCUUUGUCACGCCCAUAUACUAUUAACUAUUUACUAAUUUAUAAGAAAAGUAUUAUUUUUUUAGAGAGAUAGGUAGCUUGCUACCUGCUUCGUUUAUUUUGUUUAAAAAUAAACUUAGCUGGAAAUGUGAAUCAACUAGGAUUCGAAUCUGGAUCUCGGGUACCAACCACCAAGUCCUUUGCCACUUGUUCUAGGGACGGUCGGUAAAAAAAAAAAAAAGUAAAUUUUAAAUCGUGUCAUCACCUUACGGUAGGAAAAUUAUACUAUGCUGAUAUUUUGUUGGUACCACACAACGCAGCAGGAACUUAAAAUCUUUGGAUCCUUUACUUCUUUUAAUCAAAUUCCAUUGCAGGUAUUUGCAAGACAUUAGUAAGUAUAAAAAAAUGAUAAGAAAAUGUUGAGAAGAUAUCUUGCCACGUCGGUAUAAAAGACAAAAUUUCAAAUUUAAUAUUCAAUGAUAUGGAUUCAUUACAAAAAAUGCGACAGAAUAAUUUGCCAAAUAUAAAAAGAAAAGGAGCUUAAUUUGAAGGAUUUUACAAUUGUAUAUUUUCUAUUACAAAUCUCUAUAUAUUAAUAAAGUUUCAUUCCUCACUCGAUGUGAGAGGAAUUCACCAAUUUUAAAUUUUCUUUAUGGUAUCAAAGCAGAAGGUCUUGAGUUUGAAUCACGCCAGGUUCCUAGCAUAUUAAUUUUCUCCUAUUUAAUUUAAGCCCACAUCAUAGGUCAACUAAAAAGUCUCGAAUUCAUGCGUGAAGGGGAGUGUAAACAUAACUGUGGCAAAGAAUUUAUACUGUGGUCCAAGGCCACUUAAGAGCCAAAAAAUCUUACUUUGAUCAGAGACAGGUUUGCCAAUAGCAUUUAAUUGAUCACAAAUCGACUUAAACUCUCGCAAAUAUGCAAAUAAGGAAGAUGUAUCAUUCUUUAUAUAUUGAAGUUUCGAAAGUAAUUCAAAUUCACGAGCCUGCGAAUUUGGAGAAAAUGUAUAUGCAAGAGCUUGCCAUACACCUGUUGAAGUCUUCACAUCUACAACAAGUCUCAGGACUUCUUCGGAGAGAGUUCUGGUGAUCCAAGUUUUCACUAGACGAUUCGUACGCGUCCAUGCUGUGAAAUCUGAAUUUUAAAUUUUGCUACUUUUGUCAGAUGAAGGUACUUCAUGAUGUGGUGGCUUUGAUUCUCCAGUGAUGAAACCAAGUAAAUCGCGACUCUCGAUUAAUGAUAAUACUUGUGUUUCCUACAGUAAAUAAUUGGCUGUGGUAUUAAUUUGAGAGAAAUGAAAUUAGCAACAUGGAGGUUGGAUAAAUAUGGAUAUUUGGAGGUUGAAGUCAGUAUCUUUGAGAAGGUGGUAGUCUUUCGGUAUGGCUCUGAUACCAUAAAGAAAAUUUAAAAUGAAUGAAUUCUUCUCACAUUAGGUGAAGGAAGAAAUUUUAUUAAUAUAUAGAGAUUUAUACAUGAAUGAAUAGAAAAUAUAUAAUUAUAAAAUCUUUCAAAUUAGGCUUUUUUUUUCUUUGUAUUUGACAAAUUAUCAUGUUGUGAUUUUUUUUUUAUAAUAAAUUUAUAUUAUUGAAUAUUAAAUUUAAAAUAUUGCCUUUCAUGGCCGGACAGUUGCAGUUGGUGCGGCCGGGAGGUGGGUCUGGGAGCUGAGCUGUCUGUUGUUUCGGAUCAGAACGGAGCCGCUGGCGUCCGCGUCAGCAGCUUCCGGGUCGGGCGGCUGGCAGCGGGGACGGAGUCGCUUCGGCGCUCCAANUCUCUCUCUCUCUCUCUCUCCCUCUCUAAUCGCCCCUUUGAGCCCCCCUUAAUAGCUUACGUCACUAAUGAAAUCAUCACCUACUAGCAAAGCCGGUUAGUCGGUGAGAGGACAAAUCGCAUUUAGACCCUCUGACCCUUCCGAAUGUUGCCAUUAUAGAUCCCUCUUGUAUUAAUCUAUAUUUUUUUUUCAAAUGUUGCCAUUAUAGAUCCCUCUUGUAUUAAUCUAUAUUUUUUUUUCAAAAAAAAAUAUAGUAAACCAUCUGUUCUAUUUUUUAAAAAAAAUAAAUUAAGUUAUAAAAAAAAGAAAGGUCGAGAGGGUGAGAUUGGACCCUAGAACAGUCUAUCACAGCUAGACCAAUCUUUACCGCAGAUUAUCCAAUCUCCUAUCCGAGUAAAUAUAUUGUUUACGAUCUGUAAAUAUGAUUUCUUUUGAUGUUUGAUUGUUCAGAAAUUCUGUUAUUUCUUUCUAACUAGAUCGUCCGCUACGAGGAUGUAAGCACGGUAAGUUUCUCACUUCUUCUUUGUAUGUUUUGAAUUUUUUUUGUUAUCUUUUAAAGAUCACGUUCUGGUUGUGCAAUGUGAGUAUAGAAGAAUAUCUUUAAAAUAAACUUAUAUGAGUAAGGCUUACUUUGUGAUGUAUUAAUAAGCUUAUAUGAUAUUGUUAGAAUGCGUGUGUUAGUAUAUCAGUUUUCUCCAUAUCAUCAGUAUUAAUAUAUUAUAAUAGUAUUUUGAAAAACUUACAGUAAUAUUUAAACUUUGAAUAGUCAUAUAAGUUUCUGUGUUUAUUUUAUUAGUUGACUACGAAAAUCAAUUUUCUUCUCAAUUGUUUCAAACUUUUUCUUUUUUCCUGUUAAUUUCCUGUCACCUCUAAACAUGCAAUUAAUUAAUUAAUAAAAACAUAUAAGGGUACAUAUGCAAAUUUCCCCCAGAUUAAAAUCAAGCCUACUGGUGGGGGCGGGUCCUUCUGCAGCCUUUUUGCCCUUCCCGCCAUUUCGGCUCCGCCUUUAUCUUUUAAGUUAAAUAUAAUAAAAUAAAUAAAUAAUCCAACUUUUUUCCCUUUUUUUUAAAAAUAUUUUUUAUUAUUUGAGUUACUUUGUCUUGGCCCCCACCCACUCUCUCUAUAUAUAUAGAGGCCAGAGGAAGGCCACAGUCCACAAUCAAAAGGAGAGGGAAAAAAAUCAUCACACGCAAACUCGCGGAGGAGAGAAAAAGGGAAAAGAGAGAAAAUUAAGUAGAGAGAUUCAUAGAAAAGAAAAAAAAAAAGAAAAAAAAAAAAAGAAGAUUUGUUUAGAAGAGAGAUGGACGCGAAGGGCGGUCGCGUCCAGAACGGAUUCCGACAGUGGCUGGAGGCGGGGAGCGACGCCAUCCCCGCUCCGGAUGUUCAAAUUUUGACCUCCGGUGGCCGCAAAAUUUCCGCCCAUUCUGCAGUUCUUGUGAGCACCCGAAACCUUCAAUUGAAAAAACAUUCAAAACUUUAUGUACUACAAUACAAUUAGAUACUCUCGAAUCGCAGAAGCUCACUGAGCACACAAUCGAUGUCUAAUCAUAUGCACUUUUUUUAAAAAGUAUUAAAUUUAUAUUUGUUUGUUUAUUUGUUUGUUUGUUUGUUUGUUUGUUUACAGGCCGCGGCGUCGCCAGUGAUGGAGAGUAUAUUGGAUCGGGCACAAAAGCGUGGAAAAUCGCGCAGGGUUAUUAGGAUUCUGGGAGUCCCCGAUGACGCUGUAAUGGCGUUUGUGCGGUUGAUCUACUCUUCUGGGUAUGUGUUCUUUUUUUUACCUUUUUUCCCUUCUUUUUUUUUUGGGGUUAAAUUGAUUAUAUUUAAAUAUUUAGUUAAAGAAAGGAAAAGUAAGUCUAAUGCAUUGAGGACCCUAUGUUUAAGGAGAAAUUAUUGCCCUGUAUCGUGAUGUAGUACCAUGCUCUGCUUUUAAUUAAAAAUAUUUUAAAUUUCGUUUGAUUCGGAUAUUAAUAAAAAUUAUUUAUUGUAGGAAUAGGUGCGAGUUCCAUUAUAAGCAAGAAUUAGAGUAAAUUUUUGUUUGUCAUUAUUUCUGAAAAUAAAAUAAAUAAUAUUUAAAUAGGUUUCAUUUGAUUCGGAUAUAAAUAUGAACUAUUUAUUGGAGAAAUAGUUACAAAUUCCUCUAUAUGCUGGAACUAGGGAGGGUUUUUUGGGAUUGUUUUUAAAAAUAAGAUAAAUAGUGUUUGAAUGGGUUCCGUUUGGUUCGGAUAUAAACAAGAACUACUUAUUAUAGGAAUAGAUACGAAUUCCGCGAUAAGCAAGAAUAAGGGUAAGUUUUUUUUUUGAAAUUAUUUUUGGGAAUAAAAUAAAUAGUGUUUGAAAAGACUUUGUUUGGUUCAGAACAGACAAGAACUAUUUAUUGUACGGAUAGGUAUAAGUUACGGUAUAAGCAGGAACUAGAGUAAGUUUUCAUUUGGGCUGAUGCACGGCUAAGCUGGUGCAUCGGGUGCUCGCAAUAAUUUCUCUUUGGACCCAUGUAAUCAUCAUGCUCAUCGUUAUCACAUGCACUGUUCGAAACUAAAGAAAAAAAAAUCAAGGGUCCAGAAUCUUUCUGAUGGCUCUGAGAAUUUCACAUUUCCCUGUCGAAAAUUAUUAUUUUUUAUUUUUUUUAAUAUUUAACUUAAUUCUUAGCUGGGGGUCCCACGCAACUCUUAUGUCGUCCCCUUCAUCCAAUCACAGCCCUCACACGGUCCAUUUCGUUCUAAUGAUGAUAGGCAUAAUAAUUGACUCAACACCACCGAGAAAUUUCGAGAUAUUUUUUUCGUGCUUCAGAUUUUUUUUUGGGGGUUCAUGUGCCACGAUGCAUACAUAAUGCAUAGUCACAAUAAUUUUAGUUUUUAUUUUUUUCACUUCAUUAAGGUAAUGAAGAGUACACAAAUUUUGGAUGUGACUGAAUAUCAAUGAAUAAUAAAAAAUAAAUUAAUCAAUCAAUAUAAGCAUUUUACACACCGUUUAUAAUAAAAUAUUAUAUUAAAUUUAAUCCGAAUGCUGAACUUAUGGCAUACUGAGUAGUACAAACGGAUCAUGUCAUGUCAAUCAGGUGCAUGUCGUUGGACGAGGAGGAGGAGAUGGGCAGGUACGGGCUGCACCUGCUGGUGCUGUCGCACGCGUACAGCGUGGGGUGGCUGAAGCGCGCGUGCGAGGUGGCGCUGGCGUUGCGGCUGACGGCGGAGGGCGUGGUGGACGUGUUGCUGCUGGCGCGGCAGUGCGAUGCCGCGCGGCUGUACCUCCGCUGCAUGAAGCUGCUGGCGAAGGACUUCGCCGCCGUCAAGAAGACCGAGGCCUGGCAGUUCCUCCAGGCCAACGACCCCUGGCUCGAGCUCGAAAUCCUCCAGUUCCUCCAGGAGGCCGAACUGGUACGUGACCAAAAUGUAUUAUGUUUGGUUUUGCCGUAGAAUAUAGUAAUUUUUGACAAUUCAUAUAAAUAAAUAAAUAGAUAGAUAAAAAGAUAUAAAAUUUAUCUGAAUGAUGAAUUAUUUUAAUAGAGAAAGAAGCGAGUUGGGCGCAAGCGGGCGUACCGGCGGGUAUAUGAAGAGCUGGGGGACGCGAUGGAGUGCCUGCAGCACAUGUACAUGGCCAGAGAGGGAAGCAAGAAGAACCACCCCUGCUCCUCAUCUGCCUGCUACCGCAACCUGCAGCUCCUCAUCCAACACCUCGCCGCCUGCCCCCGCAGGAAAGCCUGCCCCCGCUGCUGCCGCAUGUUGCAGCUCCUCCGCCUCCACUCCGCCCUCUGCGACGACAGCACGCAACAGGCUUGCCGCAUCCCUCUUUGCUCGUAAGUCUCUAUGCUGCUUUCUUAAAAGAAUUUGUUAGUUAAUGCUUUUAUCAUCCGCCUACGUUCAGGUGUAUCUGAGUCAUUUGGCUUUCAUAUGACUGAUGAUUGUUUAGGAAACAUUGGGAGGGAGUAUGCUGAGUUGGUGGUUGAUUGAUUUUAUAGUCUAUUUGGUACCACUUCUGUAUCUGUUCUCAGCAGCAGCAGCAGCAGUAUCAAGGAGAAAUUCUGGAGCUUCUGCUGUAGCGAGAAACUGAAAUUAGAUUUUCAACGUCAAAAACGAAUUACGUAAUGCUUCUUCUAAUAGCACGACAUCUAUUGGCAGUGUAAUCGCUCUAAUGUUUGGGGAGUUUGACAUAUUUUUCCUUUUAUUUUUGUUAGAGAACAAACUUAACCACUGAUGCCCUGCUUGUUGGGUUUUCCGUGUAUACCUGCAGGCAUUUCAAGCUGAGAAUGCAGCAGCAGAAGGAAGGGAAAGAAGAGGCCGACACAUGGCAGCUUCUGGUGAAGAAGGUGAAGGUUGCUCGAGUUAUGUCCUCCUUCUCUAAGAGGAAG
rnacentral:lncRNA from 1 species